GGAGGGUAAGAUGUACGUAGCCUUACCACUACCCUUAAAGUAGAGAGGCUGUUUCCGUGAAGACCCCCGGCUUAGUGCACAAUAAAUAUAAUAGUGUGUGAUAUAAUAUUAAUAUAAUACCUUAGCCCAUGGCCUUCUUCACACGGGACUUACCUAAACAAUUCUCGUUCAUUGAUGAUGGGUGACAAUGAUCUGAAAUAGAGAUUUCAAACUGGAUAAGAAUUGCCAUUAUUUGCCCACUUUCUUGAAUUAACUUGAUUCCUUUUUGUGUAAUCCAUCCGGUUUUGCUUC
rnacentral:lncRNA from 1 species